rnacentral:rRNA from 1 species
UACCCGCAGCACAAGUGGUGGUCAUUAUUAUUGGGCCUAAAGCGUCCGUAGCUGGCUUGUUAGAUGCCUGGGUAAAUCGAUGCGCUCAACGUAUCGACUUCCGGGUAGACCGGCAAGCUCGAGACCGGGAGAGGUGUAGGCUACUCGAGGGGUAGGGGUAAAAUCCUGUAAUCCUUCGGUGAGGACCAGUGGCGAAGGCGCUACACUAGAACGGCUCUGACAGUGAGGGACGAAGCCCUGGGGCGCAAACCGG